UCUUUGAUGGUCUAACGGUCAUGAUUUCCGCUUGUCAUUCAUCUGGCAAUGCGCGGGAGACCGGGGUUCGACUCCCCGUCAGAGAG
rfam:Sclerotinia sclerotiorum 1980 scaffold_17 genomic scaffold, whole genome shotgun sequence.